rnacentral:misc_RNA from 1 species
GAUGAAGAACGUAGCGAAAUGCGAUAAGUAGUGUGAAUUGCAGAAUUCAGUGAAUCAUCGAAUCUUUGAACGCACAUUGCGCCCCUUGGUAUUCCAUGGGGCAUGCCUGUUCGAGCGUCAUUUGUACCUUCAAGCUUUGCUUGGUGUUGGGUGUUUGUCUCGCCUUUGCGUGUAGACUCGCCUUAAAAUAAUUGGCAGCCGGCGUAUUGAUUUCGGAGCGCAGUACAUCUCGCGCUUUGCACUCAUAACGACAGCGUCCAAAAGUACAUUUUACACUCUUGACCUCGGAUCAGGUAGGGAUACCCGCUGAACUUAAGCAUAUGAAUAAGCGGAGGA